rnacentral:rRNA from 1 species
GUUGAACGCUGGCGGCAUGCCUUACACAUGCAAGUCGAGCGGCAGCGCGGGGGCAACCCUGGCGGCGAGCGGCGCACGGGUGAGUAAUACAUCGGAACGUGUCCUUUCGUGGGGGAUAACCAGUCGAAAGACUGGCUAAUACCGCAUGAGAUCUCACGAUGAAAGCGGGGGACCCGAGGUAACUUCGGCCUCGCGCGAUUGGAGCGGCCGAUGUCGGAUUAGCUAG